GGGGGUGUAUAGGUUUCGACUUAGGAAUGAAGUGUUAAUCGCAUGCGGAGGGCGUUGGCUGGCCUCCUAAAAAGCCGACAAAACAAUAAAUGCCGAACCUAAGGCUAAAUGCGAAAUUAUCAGUUUCUCUGAACUCUCUGAGCAAAGAUUAGCUGCUUAAUUAGCAAAAGUUGUUAUUUAGAUAACCUCUAGAUAACCCGGUCUUCAUGGACUCUACCAGAGGUUUGUGAAGUACCGUCAUCUAUCUGGUUGGAAUCUACCUCCUCUAAUUCUCAAGGGGGUUUAUUCGAGAUUAUUGAGAAUCGUUGGUUUCCAUAGAUGUUCUUAGCUGAGGAAAUGCAACGUUAGACUACUAGGGACUAAGCAUGUAGAAGUUAGCAGGGAGUUUACUAAGGACGAGAGUUCGAGUCUCUCCACCUCCAUAC
rnacentral:tmRNA from 21 species